GACGAACGCUGGCGGCGUGCUUAACACAUGCAAGUCGAACGGAAAGGCCCCUUUGGGGGUACUCGGGUGGCGAACGGGUGAGUAACACGUGAGUAACCUGCCCUUGACUUCGGGAUAACUUCAGGAAACUGGGGCUAAUACCGGAUAGGAAUCCUUGCUGCAUGGUGGGGGUUGGAAAGCUUCGGCGGUUUUGGAUGGACUCGCGGCUUAUCAGCUUGUUGGUGGGGUAGUGGCUUACCAAGGCUUUGACGGGUAGCCGGCCUGAGAGGGCGACCGGCCACAUUGGGACUGAGAUACGGCCCAGACUCCUACGGGAGGCAGCAGUGGGGAAUAUUGCACAAUGGGCGGAAGCCUGAUGCAGCAACGCCGCGUGCGGGAGGACGGCCUUCGGGUUGUAAACCGCUUUCAGCAGGGGCGAAGCUUGUGGUGACGGUACCUGCAGAAGAAGCACCGGCUAACUACGUG
rnacentral:rRNA from 1 species